CCGGGUAGCUAUGUUCGGAAAAGAUAACCGCUGAAAGCAUCUAAGCGGGAAACUUGCCUCAAGAUGAGAUCUCACUGGGAACUUGAUUCCCCUGAAGGGCCGUCGAAGACUACGACGUUGAUAGGCUGGGUGUGUAAGCGUUGUGAGGCGUUGAGCUAACCAGUACUAAUUGCCCGUGAGGCUUGACCAUAUAACACCCAAACA
rnacentral:rRNA from 1 species